CACUGUACUUAAUCAGUUUGAAAAAACGUCUACUUACUCAGAAAUGCUGAGUAGGGCUACCUACUCACCUCAGUAGAUAUUAACCUCAGUAAAAACCAUGCCUUGUCUUUCUGGGAAUACCCUUCCACAUUUGGGUUUUGCACACUCUCUGGACAACAGAGAAGUGCAAAUGUCUUCUUUUUGUUAUGCAUCUCACUGGACAACACAAAUAAGUUUUAGGCACAAUUCCUGCUCCAGGACUCAAUAGCUGUCCUCCCAGAAAAACUUUAUUUCACUGAAUAUACAGAAAUGUGAAGGAAUAUGUGCCCAGAUAUCUUCAGGUGAGGCUGAGAUCACAGUUGUGUCAUAACCAUCUAUGAGCUUUAUAAAAAGCUCCGCAAUGUGAGGAAAAAAAAAAUCAAAAUAUUGAUUGCAAGGUUUGAUCAGUUGCUCUUUUCAGAAGAAAUUUCAAUCUGAUUUGUCGUGUUAUUGAUUUUUUCUUGCUCUUUGAGUAAUUAUUUUUACUUAUUCUUAGCUGAUUGCCUCACUUUGAACUAGUAUCAGAUAUCAGAUGUGUGUGUGGGGGGGGUAUUUAAAUGUGAGAAAAAAUUAGAUUUAAAUAGGAUUACAAAAUCAGAUCUGAAAGAGAAAGCUGAUAUGUGUCCUUCCGAGGAAGAAAAGAAACAGAUGCACUUUCUACUUCCUAAUAUAGAAAAACAAUACAGAACCACAGAAAAAUAGCAAUUGGAAGGGGUCUUUGGAGAAAUAAAACCCAAUGCCAAGUGAGAGCAGGUUCAGCUAGAUCCAGUUGUUCGUGGCCAUGUCCAGCUGAGCCUUCAACACCAACAAGAAUGGAGUAUCCUCAGCCUCUCUGUGCAAAUUGCUCCAGUAUUUG